GUGACAGGUGUGUCAUGAUGGUACAGCAGGUGUGGUAGAACUACAGUGGUAGGAAGUGUCAUGUCACUACAGCAGGUGUGCUAGAACUACAGGUGUGGUAGGAGGUGUCACAUCACUACAGCAGGUGUGGUAGAACUACAGUGGUAGGUGUCAUGUCACUACAGCAGGUGUGCUAGAACUAGUGGUAGGUGUCACAUCACUACAGCAGGUGUGGUAGGAGGUGUCACAUCACUACAGCAGGUGUGGUAGAACUACAGUGGUAGGAGGUGUCAUGAGGCUACAGCAGGUGUGGUAGAACUACAGUGGUAGGAGGUGUCAUGUCACUACAGCAGGUGUUGUG